AUCCGGGCUGCGGACAGUGUCUGGUGGGUAGUUUGACUGGGGCGGUCUCCUCCUAAAGAGUAACGGAGGAGCACGAAGGUCAGCUAAUCACGGUCGGACAUCGUGAGGUUAGUGCAAUGGCAUAAGCUGGCUUGACUGCGAGAGUGACGGCUCGAGCAGGUGCGAAAGCAGGUCAUAGUGAUCCGGUGGUUCUGAAUGGAAGGGCCAUCGCUCAACGGAUAAAAGGUACUCCGGGGAUAACAGGCUGAUACCGCCCAAGAGUUCAUAUCGACGGCGGUGUUUGGCACCUCGAUGUCGGCUCAUCACAUCCUGGGGCUGAAGUAGGUCCCAAGGGUACGGCUGUUCGCCGUUUAAAGUGGUACGCGAGCUGGGUUUAGAACGUCGUGAGACAGUUCGGUCCCUAUCUGCCGUGGGCGCUGGAGAAUUGAGGGGGGUUGCUCCUAGUACGAGAGGACCGGAGUGAACGCACCACUGGUGUUCGGGUUGUCAUGCCAAUGGCAUUGCCCGGUAGCUAAGUGCGGAAAAGAUAAGUGCUGAAAGCAUCUAAGCACGAAACUUGCCCCGAGAUGAGUUCUCCCUGACUCCUUGAGAGUCCUGAAGGGACGUUGAAGACUACGACGUUGAUAGGCCGGGUGUGUAAGCGCAGCGAUGCGUUGAGCUAACCGGUACUAAUGACCCGUGAGGCUUAACCUU
rnacentral:rRNA from 1 species